AGCAGCCGCGGUAAUUCCAGCUCCAAUAGCGUAUAUUAAAGUUGUUGCAGUUAAAAAGCUCGUAGUUGAAUUUCGGGAUUAGUACGUCGGUCGUGCCUUCGGUACGUACUGGUGUUACUGAUUCCUACCUUCUGACGAACCAUCAUGUCAUUAAUUUGGUGUGGCGGGGAAUCAGGACUGUUACUUUGAAAAAAUUAGAGUGUUUAAAGCAGGCUCGCGCUUGAAUACAUUAGCAUGGAAUAAUGAAAUAGGACGUUGACCCUAUUUUGUUGGUUUCUAGGAUUGACGUAAUGAUUAAUAGGGAUAGUUGGGGGCAUUAGUAUUCAAUUGUCAGAGGUGAAAUUCUUGGAUUUAUUGAAGACUAACUACUGCGAAAGCAUUUGCCAAGGAUGUUUUCAUUAAUCAAGAACGAAAGUUAGGGGAUCGAAGACGAUCAGAUACCGUCGUAGUCUUAACCAUAAACUAUGCCGACUAGGGAUCGGAUGAUGUUAUUUUUAAUGACUCAUUCGGCGCCUUACGG
rnacentral:rRNA from 1 species